rnacentral:rRNA from 1 species
GUGGGGAAUCUUGCGCAAUGGGCGAAAGCCUGACGCAGCCAUGCCGCGUGAAUGAUGAAGGUCUUAGGAUUGUAAAAUUCUUUCACCGGGGACGAUAAUGACGGUACCCGGAGAAGAAGCUCCGGCUAACUUCGUGCCAGCAGCCGCGGUAAUACGAAGGGGGCUAGCGUUGCUCGGAAUUACUGGGCGUAAAGGGCGCGUAGGCGGACAGUUUAGUCAGAGGUGAAAGCCCAGGGCUCAACCUUGGAAUUGCCUUUGAUACUGGCUGUCUUGAGUACGGGAGAGGUGAGUGGAACUCCGAGUGUAGAGGUGAAAUUCGUAGAUAUUCGGAAGAACACCAGUGGCGAAGGCGACUCACUGGCCCGUUACUGACGCUGAGGCGCGAAAGCGUGGGGAGCAAACAGGAUUAGAUACCCGUGUAGUCC